GCUCAGUCAGUUAAGGCAUCUGACUCUUGAUCUCAGAUCAGGUCUUGAUCUCAGGGUUGUGGGUUCAAACCCCACACUGGGCU
rnacentral:tRNA from 1 species